rnacentral:rRNA from 1 species
UACGGGGGGGGUAAGCGUUGUUCGGAAUUACUGGGCGUAAAGAGUGCGUAGGCGGUUUUCUAAGUUUGGUGUGAAAUCUCCCGGCUUAACUGGGAGGGUGCGCCGAAAACUGGAAGGCUUGAGUAUGGGAGAGGUAAGCGGAAUUCCUGGUGUAGCGGUGAAAUGCGUAGAUAUCAGGAGGAACACCUGCGGUGUAGACGGCUUACUGGACCAUAACUGACGCUGAGGCACGAAAGCGUGGGUAGCAAACAGG